GAAUUUAAAUUCAGGCAAGAUGGCUCAGAACGGGGUUUCCAACGGCUCCUCUAAUGGGAACGGAGCUAAAAAUGGUCAAACUAUUGACGAAGGACUCUACUCCCGACAACUCUUUGUUCUCGGUAAGGAAGCAAUGGAGAAGAUGCAGAAGGCAAAUGUUCUUAUCUCUGGGAUGGGUGGUCUAGGUAUCGAGAUCGC